UUCCUACGGGGGGCAGCAGUCGAGAAUCAUUCACAAUGGGGGAAACCCUGAUGGUGCGACGCCGCGUGAGCGAUGAAGUAUUUCGGUAUGUAAAGCUCUAUCAGCAGGGAAGAAAAUGACGGUACCUGACUAAGAAGCCCCGGCUAACUACGUGCCAGCAGCCGCGGUAAUACGUAGGGGGCAAGCGUUAUCCGGAUUUACUGGGUGUAAAGGGAGCGUAGACGGCAGUGCAAGUCUGAAGUGAAAGGCAAGGGCUCAACCCUUGGACUGCUUUGGAAACUGUGCUGCUGGAGUGUCGGAGAGGC
rnacentral:rRNA from 1 species